rnacentral:rRNA from 1 species
GUGGGGAAUAUUGCGCAAUGGGCGAAAGCCUGACGCAGCGACGCCGCGUGAGGGAUGAAGGUUUUCGGAUCGUAAACCUCUGUCAGAAGGGAAGAAGUUGCAUGGGGCCAAUCACCUGUGCAUUGACGGUACCUUCAAAGGAAGCACCGGCUAACUCCGUGCCAGCAGCCGCGGUAAUACGGAGGGUGCGAGCGUUAAUCGGAAUUACUGGGCGUAAAGCGCACGUAGGCUGUAUGUCAAGUCAAGGGUGAAAUCCCACGGCUCAACCGUGGAACUGCCUUUGAAACUGGCAAACUGGAGUAUGUGAGAGGGCGGCGGAAUUCCUGGUGUAGGAGUGAAAUCCGUAGAUAUCAGGAGGAACAUCAGUGGCGAAGGCGGCCGCCUGGCACAAAACUGACGCUGAGGUGCGAAAGCGUGGGUAGCAAACAGGA